AGUGAACGCUGGCGGUAGGCCUAACACAUGCAAGUCGAACGGCAGCACAGUAAGAGCUUGCUCUUACGGGUGGCGAGUGGCGGACGGGUGAGGAAUACAUCGGAACCUACUUUUUCGUGGGGGAUAACGUAGGGAAACUUACGCUAAUAUCGCAUACGACCUACGGGUGAAAGCAGGGGAUCUUCGGACCUUGCGCGAUUGAAUGCGCCGAUGUCGGAGUAGCUAGUUGGCGGGGUAAAGGCCCACCAAGGCGACGAUCCGUAGCUGGUCUGAGAGGAUGAUCGGCCACACGGGAACGGAGACACGGACCAGAGUCCUACGAGAGGGAGCAGUGUGGAAUAGUGGACAAUGGGCGCAAGCCUGGUCCAACGAGACCGCGUGUGUUAAGGAGGCCUUCGGGUUGGAAAGCCGGUUUGUGGGGAAAGAAAAGCAGCAGGUUAAGACCCCGCGGUUCUGACGGUACCCAAUAAAGAAGCACCGGCUAACUUCGUG
rnacentral:rRNA from 1 species